rnacentral:misc_RNA from 1 species
UUUCCGUAGGUGAACCUGCGGAAGGAUCAUUCAUAAUAAGUGUUUUAUGGCACUUUUUUAAAUCCAUAUCCACCUUGUGUGCAAUGUCAGGGUUGAUUUUUCUCUCGAGAGGAUCAACCCCAAACAUCAACUAUAUCUCAACUAUUUGUCUGAAAAAUAUUAUGAAUAAAACAAUUCAAAAUACAACUUUCAACAACGGAUCUCUUGGCUCUU